rnacentral:rRNA from 1 species
GAUGAACGCUGGCGGCGUGCCUAAUACAUGCAAGUCGAGCGAACAGACGAGGAGCUUGCUCCUCUGACGUUAGCGGCGGACGGGUGAGUAACACGUGGAUAACCUACCUAUAAGACUGGGAUAACUUCGGGAAACCGGAGCUAAUACCGGAUAAUAUAUUUAACCGCAUGGUUCAAUAGUGAAAGACGGUUUUGCUGUCCCUUAUAGAUGGAUCCGCGCCGCAUUAGCUAGUUGGUAAGGUAACGGCUUACCAAGGCAACGAUGCGUAGCCGACCUGAGAGGGUGAUCGGCCACACUGGAACUGAGACACGGUCCAGACUCCUACGGGAGGCAGCAGUAGGGAAUCUUCCGCAAUGGGCGAAAGCCUGACGGAGCAACGCCGCGUGAGUGAUGAAGGUCUUCGGAUCGUAAAACUCUGUUAUUAGGGAAGAACAAAUGUGUAAGUAACUAUGCACGUCUUGACGGUACCUAAUCAGAAAGCCACGGCUAACUACGUG